AAUAAGCGGAGGAAAAGAAACCAACAGGGAUUGCCUCAGUAACGGCGAGUGAAGCGGCAAAAGCUCAAAUUUGAAAUCCUUCGGGAGUUGUAAUUUGUAGGUUGGGAGACCCCGCGGCUAGUGGCACCAAGUCCCUUGGAACAGGGCGCCUUAGAGGGUGAGAGCCCCGUAGGUACCACAACACCGUCUUGUGUCUCCUCUCCAAAGAGUCGAGUUGUUUGGGAAUGCAGCUCAAAGUGGGUGGUAAAUUCCAUCUAAAGCUAAAUACCGGCGAGAGACCGAUAGCGAACAAGUACAGUGAUGGAAAGAUGAAAAGCACUUUGAAAAGAGAGUGAAACAGUACGUGAAAUUGUUGAAAGGGAAGGGCUUGCAAGCAGACACGGCCUUCGUGCCGGGCCAGCAUCGGUUGCUAGGGGUGGAUAAGGAACAAGGAAUGUAGCUCCUCGGAGUAUUAUAGCCUUGCGCGAUACACCCACUGGCGACCGAGGCCUGCGGUAUUCCUACCUA
rnacentral:rRNA from 1 species